UACGAAGGGGGCUAGCGUUGCUCGGAAUCACUGGGCGUAAAGCGCACGUAGGCGGCUUGUUAAGUCAGGGGUGAAAUCCUGGAGCUCAACUCCAGAACUGCCUUUGAUACUGGCGAGCUUGAGUUCGGGAGAGGUGAGUGGAACUGCGAGUGUAGAGGUGAAAUUCGUAGAUAUUCGCAAGAACACCAGUGGCGAAGGCGACUCACUGGCCCGAUACUGACGCUGAGGUGCGAAAGCGUGGGGAGCAAACAGG
rnacentral:rRNA from 1 species